AUGCACCUGACUGGGCUGCAGACAGCGGUUGCAGGAUUUGUCGUCGGUGGCGCCGGGCCCGAGCCCCUGCAGGAGCGCAGCCCUGCUCUGCUCUGUUUAAAAUUGGCCUGGCUGCACAUGGGCCCACCCCACUGCAGCUGCAGGAAGAAGAGACAAGAUUCUUGGCAGCCGUCGGAAGAUCGCCUGGCACUGGGGGCCAGGGUAGCAGCGCCAGCCGGGGGCAGACCGCGGAUGAGGCGCUCACCCGCUGGUGGUGCCUGGCCGGAGCGGCACGGAUUGGGCUACGCCGUCCCCCCCGAGCGGCAGCGGCAGUGCCCCGUGACUGCAAACUUGUGCCGCCGAAAGGGGGGAGAUGGUCACCAUCUAUCCCUGGCUGGGGUCCCCUGGUCCCGACACGGUGGCCACCGGCCACGGCUCGGUGUCGGGCAGUCCGAGGGGCAAGAAGGAAGAGAACACGAAAGGACUGGACUUGCAAAUUGCACGGGCUCCCGUGUACAUGGUGAUUUUUACUGUUGUGUUCUUAUUCCAGGGUUAGAAGGGUUGGAAACAUAUUGGGGUUGGGAGGUGGAGUUGGAAUUUCGCCACUUUAUCUCUUCGGCUUUAAGGGUGUCGAGAAUCACGUGGAAGACAGGCAACAAGCAAGAGGCUUGCACGUCCCUCGUUAAGUCACACAGCCUGAUUCCAACUUGUGAUACGUGGCAUGAACGAAUUCGUGCUAAAGUUAUAUUAAUCUUGUCUGAUAAAAAUCCUAGUAUGAAUAUUUGUUUACAAAAAGUGUAUUUCCAGGAAGUCUUCAUCUGACGAGAUUUCAGUGAUAUGCACCAAAACCAGCAUGAAUAUUCGUCUGUAAAAAGUGUAUUCCAAGGGAUUUGUCAGGCACCACGAUAAGGAGAGAACAUGUGCCAACAUGCAAAAGAAGACAAGACUAACGGAAGGAGGCAAAGGACCCCCGAAAAGCCUGGGAACAUAUAAAAAGGACCUUGUGAUAGUCACAUUUUGUGAAACACAGUGGAGUGGUGCCAGCCCCCCCCCCCCCCAAUCUCACUGUUAGGCUGUUUCAGUGCCGAUCUGAUUUUUUUGCUUGUGGCUUUUACAAUUGUAUUUUAAUUAUGGAAUAAAUUCUUUUUAUUGAUCA
rnacentral:lncRNA from 1 species